UGCAGCAUAUGGGAUUUCCCACAGUAGAAUCAGAGCUGUAGCUGAGGCCUACACCACAGCCAUGGCAGUGCUGGAUCUGAGCCACGUCUGUGACCUGCUUCUCCAUUUAAGGCAACACUGGAUCCUUAACCCACUGAGCGAGGCCAGGGAUUGAACCCACAUUCUCAUGGAGACUAUGUUGGAUUCUUAACCCACUGAGCCACAAUGGGAAUUCCUAUUGGCCCAUUUUCCAAUAGGCGAAAGUAUACUUAAGGAGACUGGCAGUUUCAACCUUAUGUAAUCCAUAAAUGAAGCAUUGAAACAUGCUACAAAUCAGAUGAAAACACCAUGUUAAGUGAAAGAAGCCAGAUACAAAGUUCACAUAUUAUAUAAUUUCUUUCAUGUGAAAUGAAUACCCAGAAUAGGCAAGUCCAUGGAGGCAGAUUAGUGGAGGGGGAAUGAGGAAUGAUUACUUAAUGGAUAUAUUUCUGUUUUGAAACUAGAGAGAAAAAGUUUUGAAACUUCAGAGAAACAUUGGUUGUACAAUACUGUGAAUGCCUCCGAAUUGCGCGCUUUAAGAUAUGUCAUUAAUUUUAUGUUGUGUAGAAUUCACCUCAAUUUUUUAAAAAACACAUCCGACUCAAAGCAUCACAGAGCUCUAAUCUUUUUCUUCAGAAGUCUCCCCAUAUACAACAGAACAAAACCCCAAGUACUUAUUUUGGCAUUCAAGACCUUUUACAACUUGUCCUAAACUAUAUCCACUCUCCUCCACUCCAAAUUUCCACUACUUCAAGUCCUCUAUGCUCCAGUCACACUGAAUGGUAGCUCAAUAUUGCCCAAACAUGUGGGCAUAACCUUGCAUUGCAAUGUUCUUUCAUAACUAACUGCAUAUGCUAUUCUUCCCAGCUACGCUAUGAGCAUCACAAAGGAAGAGACAACAACUGAUUCAUCUUGUCCUUUCCAGAUCUAACCCUGGGACUGGUAUUAAGUGAGUAAUUAAAUAAAUGUUUGUUGAAUUGAAUUGAAUGUGCUUGGAAACCCUAGGGAAAAUCCUCCAGAAUCCUUCUGGGAUUGUAACUGUUCAGUGAAGAGUUCCUUAGAAUUAGAAAUUAACCUAUUUUGAGGCUGUUCCUUAGAAGUAGAAAUUAACCUAUUUUGUUAAGAAAACAUUAGGAUGGAUACAUUGUCUCUUUCACUUGCUUUUGGAAAAUACCAGGAAAAAAAAAGAAUGCUGAAAUGUAGCAAAUAUUCUAAAGGUUUAUGGUAUUAUAAUUAGGGGGUGGGAGGAAAAAGGGGAGGUAAAGUAGGUGGUAUAAUAGAAAUUUUUGCAAUCUGGUCUUGAAGGAAAUGAGAAGAGCUAAAUCAGAUAUCCCUGGACUUUCUAUGGACCUGCCUUCAAUGGAGGGAGGUAAGAGGAAGGGGAGAUGUUAGGCAAAGGACAGACAAAUCCAAGUUAGCACUCUCUGUUUCUGCCAUGUUCUGGUACAGAAUUUACCCAUGACAGAGCAAUACCAUGUAUAUGGUGGUUGAAACUGGCAUGAGAAAUUAAAAAGACUCUCUGGUAUAAAUGAAGUAUCCCCUUGUUGAUCAUAUUCUCUAAAUGUUAUACAGUGAUUCUCCUAAUAGAACCGUCCAUGCUACAAAACAUCUAGAGUCACAUAUACAAUGAGUUCAGAAGUGGUAUUUAGAACCAAUAACAAAACAAUGAUGAUAUAAAUGAAGGCACAUAAAUAUCCUUCAUGUGCCCAUUAGCAUUCUCGUUAAAGGCAACAUGGAAAUGAGAAUACAGAAUGUUUAACUAGAAAAGCUUAUAGUUUACUGGGAUAGACAGACAAACAAGUGAAGUUUAACUCAGUGCUAAGUGUCAUUCCCGAUUUAGCAAAGGGCUGCUGAACUCUCAAGCCUUGGUAGUCUUAUCUGUGAAAAGGAGAUUAGCAAAUCUAAUUCAGAUAGAGAAUUUAAAGAGAUGGGGCCUGAGGAGCAGACUGCUCUCUUCCCCAGAAAAUUACAACAGUUGCUCUGAGCUAUGGGAGGAAAAAAAAUCUAUUGGGGAAGUGCCCAAGGGCAGGGAUGUGUAUGCAAUUUAUCUCUGUAUCUCUCACAAUACCUAACAUAUGGUGGAUAUUCAACUUUAAAUUUGAGUCUAACUGAAGCAUAUAUUGUGCUUCAAGGGCUCUUCCAAACAUCAGAUAUGCCAGAGGCAGCAGGCAUGCAAGGUUUUACUUGCACCCCACCAAAAAUGCAACUCCUAACUGAAAGGUAGAGUCAACCAAAACAGAAAGUGGUGGGCAGAAACUCCCUACUUAUACUCUGUUACAGGGGCAGAAACAUUGGUUCCUAGUAGAAUAAUAUCUCAACACACCAGACACAGAGACAAAAAAUGGUCGGAAACCUUGCCCACCAAUUCUUCUGAAACAAGUUCCUCCAAGUGGGGGUUGUGAAAGUCAAACCCUAGCCCCACUAAGGGAAGUGUACAAAUUAGUCAUACAGCCACACUUCUGAUAUUGUUCAAGGCAAUUCAAGUUUCAAAUACUGCAUUCCAGUCAAGAAAUACACUAGAUGUUCCCUGAAGUGAGCUUUGGAAAAUAAGCCUGUCUUAGUCAUGCCCCUGGUGAAAAGAGAGAUGGAAAGAUAUCAGUUCCCAAAAUGUUGAGACUUCAAUCAGAUAACUCUGAUGCAGACUUGACAGGAAGCUAUGCAGAAAAUUCACUCUGGGCAGAUCCCAACAGUUCACUUCUAAAAGGAUUUAUGUGAUAAAGCCCUUACAUGGAGCACAGGUGAGCCAGGCUGAGUUAUACAGAGCAGAGAGGAUUCUUUGGCUCUUUACCCUAAGAACAUGCUAGAGCAAGCCAUGUCCACAUUCCAAGUCUGGCCUUGGAUCUUACCAUGAUUUAGGCUGGUAGAGGCAUGGAAAAGUGAACUCAAGGAAAACUGUUUCAAUGUAUUUUAAAUAGAAUAAAGAAAAAUUUACUCCAGAAAAGGCCAAUUUCUAAUUAUCAGAAAGCUCCACUAUCUGGGGAUGUGGUUUAAUUAUCUUCUUGGUCAACUCAUAUCCUUGACUCUCAUAGAAAGCGGUAUCUGGCACUUUGAGUGGUCUUUGGGCUUUGACUGGCCCCUCUCAUUUAGAAGGAUAUCCACAUCAUUACAGCUCAGCAUCUCUAUUUACCCAGAGGUCAGACAGCAUUAUAAGCAAGAAGGACUCUUCUUUUUGUCCUCUCCCUUCACAGUGAGGUAAGGAUGAAAUUCGAUCAUCAAGAAUUACUUUGAAUGCAACACAGCUGUGGCUAUGUGCUCCUCUUUAAAAGGAAAAUACUCAUGGAAAAAUAAUAUGUAAGUCACUUAACUCCUUACAGAUUCUCUUCUUAGUUGUUUCUCUCACUGCAGAAAAGACUGGGAGUGAGGGAUAAAUUAGGAGGUUGGGAUUAACAUACACACACUAUUGUAUAUAAAAUAGAUAAUAAACAAGAACCUAUGGUAGCACUCAGGAAAUUAUACCCAAUAUUUUGUAUUAACCUGUAAGGGAAAAGAAUCUGAAAAGAAAAAGUUAUGUAUAUACAAAACUUUUUAACAUAUAUUAAUAUAUAACUGAAUCAUUGUGCUAUGCAUCUGAAACUAACACAAUAUUGUAAACCAACUACAUUUUCAUUAAAACAAACAAGCAAAAAAAUACUGUGUUAAAAUGGCACCUGAAGCGAGAGAGGGAUUACAGCUAAAAGGAGAAAAGCAUCUCUUGAAAUGUCAUAGCUUUCUUAUUUUUUAUAGCAGUACAAAGAGGGGAAACAUGAGGUCUGAUAAGUUUGUGGUUUGCUUCAGCUAUGCAAUCAAAUCUGCCUCCAAUAGUUUAUGGAGAACUUGAUAGAAUAAUAUCCAAUAACAGUUUUUACUCAUUUGAAGCAAUUGUAUUUUAGGAGUAGUGGUAGGCAGGUUGCUAAGGUGGUAUCCAGUGACCCUCCUUCUUGAAUAAUCCCUUCCCUUUGAUGGCGCUGGGAGCCUGAGAAUAGGAUGAGAUAUCAGUCUCCUGAGGCUAUUACAUUAUAUGGCAAAAGGAUCUUGCAAUUGCUACUAAAGUUGCAAAUGAGUUGAUCUUACCCUGGCAGAGCCUGACCCAGUCAGGUGAGCCUUCAAAAAUAGUCUUCCCUGGCUGACUUUGAAGGAAGAAAGCAAACAGCCAUGUUGUGAGCUGCUUAGAGAGAAGGGCAGGAGUCUCUAAGAGCUGAGAAUGAUCCCUGGCCAACAGCUAACAAGAAAACAUUGUGUUGGUCGUAUAAUCACUUCAGCUGAAUUCUGCCAGGAACCUGAAUGAACAUGGGAGAGGACCUCCCAGAUGAGAACCACAGCCUCAGCUGACACCUUGAUUACAGCUGAGAAGCCUAAGCAGAGGAUUCAGCUAAGCUGUGUCCAAAUGCCUCAUGCACGGAAACUGUGAGAUAGUAAAUGCAUGUUGCUUCAGCAGCAAAUUUUGUGGUAAUUUGUUACACAGCGAUAGAAAACUAAAACAGGACCAAUAUUGUCGAAUUCUGCAUACUGGCUGAUUUUUUUUGAGAACUGCAAUCAUGCUGAGUUAGAACUUUCCAUGAAAAGACAGUUCUUAAUUAUCUGGGUAUCGAAAGCAUCAAAGUACUUCUUUUUCAGUAGCAAUAAAACACUGACUUUUCUCACUCUGAAAACUCAAAAAUAGCGAACAGAUUUUCUUUAGAACUUUCCAAAAAUAAAGAUUUUCUUCUGGGCUGAAAUCAGUCUGGGAAAUGUUAAUCUGGAAGGGGAAAGAAGCUUAAGUAGUGUAAAUAGCUCAAAAUAGGCUGCAUGGUUCUGACCUGUAGAGGGUCUAGAGAAAAUUUCUCAUUACUUAGAAUCACAGAAAUGUGUGAUCACUAUAGUUGCAUACAGUGUACCAGAAGAAACCAUAUCCUUGGGAAUAUCCUAGCCACUGCAAAGAGUAGCUAUCAGGCCAAAGACUGACCUUCUACUAAAAGGUCAUCCUUUCAUCCUUACUCCAAGGAAUUCCAAAAUACACUCUCACAUCCAGAAGGGAUUCGCCAGGGGGCACGGUCCUUCUUUAAGGUGUAAAACAAGAUUGCAAUUAAUUUAAAAUAACAAGGUACAGUUUUUCAAAUUCUUCAGAAAGUAAAUCAAUUAACCAUCCUGGGACCAUAUGUCCUUGUCUCUAAAAUGAAUGUUUGGUCUAAUCUCCAGGGUUCUUUCCAGCUCUAUGAUUGUCACAAGCCUCUUCCAUCAUUUUACCUACUCGAUUUGUCAAUGCUGUUACAUAUGGCUGAAUAGGAAAAGCAGCCAAUAAGUACACUGGAAGCACUCAAUAAAUGGAAAUUCUUUGUCGUAAAGUAUUAAAUCAAUGUUGGCUGCUCCAGUUAUUGUUGCAAAAUCUUCCUUCAUAGGUCUGAUUUUCCAAAACUUUUUAUCACCUUUCCAAAACAUUCCACUUGACUUAUCUUUAAUUAUGGAGCAAUUGAAGACAAAACCAAUCCUCUAAAAAGGAUUAGCUAUAAUAGAAGAAUUACAAAAAGAGCCUUAACCAUGACCUUCACUUGUAUAUUCCAUUCAUGGUUCCUUGUAAGUCUCAGCACUGUAUUGAUUCCUGUGCCCUGCUGAAUAUCUCUGCCUGGAUGCCUUGUCUGCUCUUCAAACUCAAUUUACCCAAAAUCAAAUAUAUUACUUUUCUUCCCCAAUCAGCCCAUCCCAGUCAGAUUUCUCUAUUUCCACAAUGUGGCAUUUUGUCAAUUACUCAAUCUUAAAAUAUUUUCAUCAGUUUUUUUUUCUUCCUUUUCUGUCAUGCUUAUAUCUAUGCAUACAAAAUCCUCCUGACAUUUCCUUUUAUUUAAGAUCUAUAACAUGCCCAUGUUGUAAAGAUGUGUUGAAACCAUAUCUUGCCAAGUUAUUGGCAAGGUGUUUUAUACCUUUUCCUUUCCAUUCUCACUGCUUCCACUCUAACUUGAGUGCCUCUUACUGGAGGUGCUGCACAACUUUCUCUCUGCCUCCAUUUCCCCUCUCAAUUUAUCUUACAAAAUUCUGCCUGGACUUGUCCUCCUGGAACUCUUCUUUGUGCGUAUUCCCUCAUUCUUUCAAACCUCCAGGGUGCCUGCAUUUCUCACACAAUAAAACCCAAACUUCUCUAAGUUAUUUUCCCAGGUCCUUGCCAAUCUGACUAUGGCCUGGAGUUGAGUUGAAAGACUGGAGUUGCUGUCUUGAUCUGAAUCUAGGCAAGUCAAUAGCUUUUCAGAGCCUCAGCUUUCUCUGCUGUAAAACUAGUGCAGUAACCCCUGUGCCCUAACAAAAAAAUUGUGAAC
rnacentral:lncRNA from 1 species